rnacentral:rRNA from 1 species
GACGAACCACACAAACGUUAUUCGGAAUUACUGGGCUUAAAGGGUGCGUAGGCUGUGCAGAAAGUUAGGUGUGAAAUCCCCCGGCUCAACCGGGGAAUUGCGCUUAAAACUACUGUGCUAGAGGAAGACAGAGGUGAGCGGAACUUCGGGUGGAGCGGUGAAAUGCGUUGAUAUCCGAAGGAACACCGGUGGCGAAAGCGGCUCACUGGGUCUUUUCUGACGCUGAUGCACGAAAGCUAGGGGAGCAAACGGG